CAGUCGCCGCGGGAAAACGUAGGGCGCAAGCGUUGUCCGGAAUUAUUGGGCGUAAAGAGCUCGUAGGCGGUCUGUCGCGUCUGGUGUGAAAUCCCGAGGCUCAACCUCGGGCUUGCAUCGGGUACGGGCAGACUAGAGUGCGGUAGGGGAGACUGGAAUUCCUGGUGUAGCGGUGGAAUGCGCAGAUAUCAGGAGGAACACCGAUGGCGAAGGCAGGUCUCUGGGCCGCAACUGACGCUGAGGAGCGAAAGCAUGGGGAGCGAACAGGAUUAGAUACCCCUGUAGUCCCUGUCUCUUAUAC
rnacentral:rRNA from 1 species